AUCUUUCUGUCCAUAGGGUCUUUGAAGAAACCCACACCAUCAACAGGUAAAGUGGUACGUUUGGCCAAUCUAACCAUGGCUGCAUCUACCUUGGGAGCGGAAUCCCAUGUUUUAGCGUCAGUGUCCACAAAAGUAUACAGUCUGGAACAUUUUCCUUUUGCAGAGGAUUUUAUGUCCGAUCUGGACCAUUCCUCCUUGAUGAGGUCUUUUAUAGUCACAUGGACUGGAAAAGUCACCCUCUUCCUCCUAAGGUCAGAGAAGUGGUGACUGGAUGUGGAAGGCUCAUCCUUAGAAGGUUACUUCAAACUGAGAGUCUUGCGGACCCUGGAUAUCAAAUGAUCAAUUUCAGCAGGUUCCAGGAAGUCUGGAGCUGGAAGCACCACAUCCUCAGAAGAAGAACCCAGAUCUCUCAGGGAUUCCAUAGACAUACACUCCACAUCAGAGACCUCUGGAGAACACUCAGAAGGUUCCAAACACUUUGGUCGCUUGCGGGACUUCCCAGCUUCCUGAAUGCCCAGAGCGACAGCUUGUGAAAUUUUCAGCAAUAUGUCAGGCACAGGUUGGCUGGAGGGCUGCCUUUGAGAUGGGCUUGCAGCCACAGAUGGGCAAGAAAAACAGAGAUGUUUCCCCUCCAGGGCUCUGUUAUCACAGGAUUCACAUUG